ACAAAAACAUCUUUUCUUGUUAGUUUUUGAAGUAUAACCUGCCCACUGACGUUGAGUUGAAGGGCCGCGGUAUUUUGACCGUGCAAAGGUAGCAUAAUCAUUAGUUCUUUAAUUGUGAUCUGGUAUGAAUGGUUUGACGAGGCAUGGACUGUCUUGGAGGUAUUGUUUGUUGAAUUUAGGUUUUGAGUUAAAAUUCUUAGAUGUUUUUAUGGGACGAGAAGACCCUAUAGAGUUUGACAAUUUUCUUAUUUGUGUUGUUGUUGGUUUUAUUUUGUUGAGUAGGCAAAAUUGUUUUGUUGGGGUGAUGGGAGGAAUUUAUUUAACUCCUCUUUUAUUUUAUAUAUUUAUGUAUAUUUUUUUGAUCCAUUUAUUUUGAUUAUAAGAUUAAAUUACCUUAGGGAUAACAGCGUUAUCCUCCUUGAGAGUUCUUAUUGGCGGGAGGGAUUGCGACCUCGAUGUUGGAUUAAGGUGAAUUUCGGUGCAGAAGCUGAGAGUGAUUAGGUC
rnacentral:rRNA from 1 species